rnacentral:rRNA from 1 species
UAGUAACGGCGAGUGAAGCGGCAACAGCUCAAAUUUGAAAUCUGGCUUCGGCCCGAGUUGUAAUUUGCAGAGGAUGUUUCUGGCGCGGUGCCUUCCGAGUUCCCUGGAACGGGACGCCACAGAGGGUGAGAGCCCCGUAUGGUCGGACACCAAGCCUGUGUGAAACUCCUUCAACGAGUCGAGUAGUUUGGGAAUGCUGCUCUAAAUGGGAGGUAAAUCUCUUCUAAAGCUAAAUACCGGCCAGAGACCGAUAGCGCACAAGUAGAGUGAUCGAAAGAUGAAAAGCACCUUGAAAAGGGGGUUAAAUAGUACGUGAAAUUGUUGAAAGGGAAGCACUUAUGACCAGACUUGGGCCGGGCGGCUCAUCAGGGGUUCUCCCCUGUGCACUCCGCCCGGCACAGGCCAGCAUCGGUUUUCGCGGGGGGAUAAGACCGACGGGAACGUAGCACCCUCCGGGGUGUGUUAUAGCCCGGCGGACGAUACCCUCGCGGGGACCGAGGUCCGCGCUCCGCAAGGAUGCUGGCGUAAUGGUCAUCAGUGACCCGUCUUGAAACACGGACCAAGGAGUCGUCCAUUAGAGCGAGCGUUUGGGUGUAAAACCCGCACGCGUAAUGAAAGUGAACGCAGGUGAGAGCUUCGGCGCAUCAUCGACCGAUCCUGAUGUUCUCGGAAGGAUUUGAGUAAGAGUUUUAACGGACGGACCCGAAAGACAGUGAACUAUGCUUGUAUAGGGUGAAGCCAGAGGAAACUCUGGUGGAGGCUCGCAGCGGUUCUGACGUGCAAAUCGAUCGUCAAAUAUGAGCAUGGGGGCGAAAGACUAAUCGAACUGUCUAGUAGCUGGUUACCGCCGAAGUUUCCCUCAGGAUAGCAGUGUUGAUCUUCAGUUUUAUGAGGUAAAGCGAAUGAUUAGGGACUCGGGGGCGCUAUAUUGCCUUCAUCCAUUCUCAAACUUUAAAUAUGUAAGAAGCCCUUGUUACUUAGUUGAACGUGGGCAUUCGAAUGUACCAACACUAGUGGGCCAUUUUUGGUAAGCAGAACUGGCGAUGCGGGAUGAACCGAACGCGGGGUUAAGGCGCCAGAGUGUACGCUCAUCAGACACCACAAAAGGCGUUAGUACAUCUUGACAGCAGGACGGUGGCCAUGGAAGUCGGAAUCCGCUAAGGACUGUGUAACAACUCACCUGCCGAAUGUACUAGCCCUGAAAAUGGAUGGCGCUCAAGCGUACCGCCCAUACCCCGCCCCCAGGGUAGAAACGAUGCCCUGGGGAGUAGGCGGCCGUGGAGGUCAGUGACGAAGCCUAG